UGGGGAAUAUUGGACAAUGGGCGAAAGCCUGAUCCAGCCAUGCCGCGUGUGUGAAGAAGGUCUUCGGAUUGUAAAGCACUUUAAGUUGGGAGGAAGGGCAUUAACCUAAUACGUUAGUGUUUUGACGUUACCGACAGAAUAAGCACCGGCUAACUCUGUGCCAGCAGCCGCGGUAAUACAGAGGGUGCAAGCGUUAAUCGGAAUUACUGGGGGUAAAGCGCGCGUAGGUGGUUUGUUAAGUUGGAUGUGAAAGCCCCGGGCUCAACCUGGGAACUGCAUCCAAAACUGGCAAGCUAGAGUACGGUAGAGGGUGGUGGAAUUUCCUGUGUAGCGGUGAAAUGCGUAGAUAUAGGAAGGAACACCAGUGGCGAAGGCGACCACCUGGACUAAUACUGACACUGAGGUGCGAAAGCGUGGGGAGCAAACA
rnacentral:rRNA from 1 species